rnacentral:snRNA from 1 species
GUGCCGGCCGGGGGACGG